rnacentral:rRNA from 1 species
UGCUAGGCCUUAUAGGUGCCCGCCGACGUCCCCCUAAAACUCUUUUGUCAUUUGGGUUCUCUGAGUGAAAUCAAAUGAGUCAAAACUUUCAUCACGGAUCUCUUGUUCUGGCAUCGAGGAAGAACGCAGCGAAAUGGAUGGUAAUGGAAUUGCAGACUUCAAGUAAAUCAUCAAAUCUUUGAUCGCACAUUGCUUCCCUAGUUUUCAAAUGGGCAUGCCUGUCCGAGCGUCAUUUCAUCCACUCAGUCCCCUACGUUUUGGGGUUGGCCCAUCUACUGUGUGAAACCUUAGACCCUGAAAGACAGUGGCGCCAUCCCCCUGGCACUCCGGGCGCUAUAGAAUCUCCUUCUCGUCGAGGACGUCAUAGCGCCCUGCCGGUCCGUAAACAACCCCCAAAAAAUAAAAAGGUUGACCUCGAAUCAGGUAGGAUUACCCGCUGGACUUUAAGCUUUUCAUUAAGCCGGAAGAA